UACAGAGGGUGCGAGCGUUGUUCGGAAUUAUUGGGCGUAAAGGGCGCGUAGGCGGUGCGGUAAGUCACCUGUGAAAUCUCCUGGCUCAACUGGGAGCUUGCAGGCGAAACUGCCGUGCUGGAGUGUGGGAGAGGGUGCGUGGAAUUCCCGGUGUAGCGGUGAAAUGCGUAGAGAUCCGGAGGAACACCGAAAGGCGAAAGGCAAGGUGUC
rnacentral:rRNA from 1 species